AUAUCAUAUUCUUUGGAUGAUAACCAACAGACCCAAGCAAGGACUAACGAAAAUCAGGGCUCUGAGAUAAUAGAGCUCAGCAGUGAUGAGGAUUCUAAUGAUGAAAUCAACUUGUCAGAAGCCUCUACCUUAAUCCUCUCCAAGCCAGAGACUGCACAUUCCAGACAACCUCCCACACCAAGAACAUACAGAAGAGGAGAUACUUCUGAUACCAGCAGCUCAAGCCUCGAUAGAAGACGGAAAAGGACAGGACGAAUGUUGAGUAGCUCCUCUUCUGAACUGAGUUCUGGAGAGGAAUCUGAGGAAUUUCUAAGAAGUGGAUCAGGAAGAUUAGGAUGCCCAGCCUCGGCCCACUGGAUGGCAGGAGUUUGAUGACCAAAAGCCGCUAUGACUAGAUGCAUUUUGUUCUAAGCGUGAUAAUCACUGUGCAUCCAGUUAUCUGGGGGCCCCUUUCAAUUCUAGAAAGUGCAGGAGGCAGGAAAUGACCAUGAACUCAUGUUUAACAAGUGGAAUCCCAUCAAUUGAAUGUAUGUGCUUACACAUUGCUGAUAUGGAAGAAAUAAAUAGCAGGAUAAUGGCUAUUUGUUUUACACUCAACCACCAUGCUUACUGUGGUGGUUUGCAUGGGAAUGACCCUCACAGGCUCUUGUAUUUGAAUGGU
rnacentral:lncRNA from 1 species